rnacentral:rRNA from 1 species
AGAACGAACGCUGGCGGCAGGCUUAACACAUGCAAGUCGAACGCGUGUAGCAAUACACGAGUGGCGCACGGGUGAGUAACGCGUGGAUAUCUGCCUUUUGGUUCGGAACAACCCAGGGAAACUUGGGCUAAUACCGGAUAAGCCCUUACGGGGAAAGAUUUAUCGCCGAAAGAUCGGCCCGCGUCUGAUUAGCUAGUUGGUGAGGUAAUGGCUCACCAAGGCGACGAUCAGUAGCUGGUCUGAGAGGAUGAUCAGCCACAUUGGGACUGAGACACGGCCCAAACUCCUACGGGAGGCAGCAGUGGGGAAUAUUGGACAAUGGGCGCAAGCCUGAUCCAGCCAUGCCGCGUGAGUGAUGAAGGCCCUAGGGUUGUAAAGCUUCUUUUGUGCGGGAAGAUAAUGACGGUACCGCAAGAAUAAGCCCGGCUAACUUCGUGCCAGCAGCCGC